CGCCGCCGCGGUAAAACGGAGGGGGCUAGCGUUGUUCGGAAUUACUGGGCGUAAAGCGCACGUAGGCGGCUUGGUAAGUUAGAGGUGAAAGCCCAGGGCUCAACCCUGGAAUUGCCUUUAAGACUGCCGAGCUAGUAGGUGAGAGAGGUGAGUGGAAUUCCGAGUGUAGAGGUGAAAUUCGUAGAUAUUCGGAAGAACACCAGUGGCGAAGGCGGCUCACUGGCUCAUUCUAGACGCUGAGGUGCGAAAGCGUGGGGAGCAAACAGGAUUAGAUACCCGCGUAGUCCCUGUCUCUUAUACA
rnacentral:rRNA from 1 species